rnacentral:rRNA from 1 species
GAUCAUGGCUCAGGAUGAACGCUAGCUACAGGCUUAACACAUGCAAGUCGAGGGGAAACGACAUCGAAAGCUUGCUUUUGAUGGGCGUCGACCGGCGCACGGGUGAGUAACGCGUAUCCAACCUGCCCAUCACUUGGGGAUAACCUUGCGAAAGUAAGACUAAUACCCAAUGACGUCUCUAGAAGACAUCUGAAGGAGAUUAAAGAAUUUCGGUCAUCGAUGGGGAUGCGUUCCAUUAGGUUGUUGGCGGGUAACGGCCACCAAGCCUUCGAUGGAUAGGGGUUCUGAGAGGAAGGUCCCCCACAUUGGAACUGAGACACGGUCCAAACUCCUACGGGAGGCAGCAGUGAGGAAUAUUGGUCAAUGGACGAGAGUCUGAACCAGCCAAGUAGCGUGCAGGAUGACGGCCCUAUGGGUUGUAAACUGCUUUUAUAAGGGAAUAAAGUGGGAGUCGUGACUCUUUUUGCAUGUACCUUAUGAAUAAGGACCGGCUAAUUCCGUG